AGCUUUAAGUUUUAUUUAAGGUGAGACCUGCCCAGUGCUAAUUGUUAACGGCCGCAGUACCUUGACUGUGCUAAGGUAGCAUAAUCAGUUGGCUUUUAAAUGGAGUCGGGAAUGAAUGGAUUAAUGGGGUAAAACUGUCUCUCUUAUAUCAUAUUGAAUUUUUUUAUUAGGUGAAAAUACCUAAAUUUAGAAAAAAGACGAGAAGACCCUAGGAGUUUUAAUUAAGAGUUUUAUUUAAACUUACAUUUUUGUUGGGGCGACAAUGGAGUAAUAUUAAACCUCCUUCUUUUACAUGCCGACUAAGUAUGGAAGAAUAAACUACCCUAGGGAUAACAGCGUAAUUCUUUUUGAGCUUGCGACCUCGAUGUUGGACUAGGAAUUUGGUAGGCUAGCCGCCUAUUUAUAUUGUUCUGUUCGAACUGU
rnacentral:rRNA from 1 species